CACAAAUCCUAAACCCUAGCAUUCAAACCCAUUUAGCCCAACUAACCCAGCUUACUCUUUACGACCCAGGCCCACUCUCCAAACACUAACCCCAACUGGCCCAUAUCUAUAACAGGAUCCAAACCCAUUCCCAUCUGACCCAGUCCCAAAUAUCCGACCAAGCCCGAUUAUAACCAAUCCAUUGACAUCAAAUAUCCCACAGUUUCACCCGAUUCCUCUCUCACAAUCACUCUCUUGCUGCCAUCGCCUCUAAUCACCAUCACGCUACCACUUCAUUAUCUAUUGUACCCAGGCAUCCAGAGCACUACCGCUUCAUCGCCAUAGGCCACUACCACCAACCCAAGAUCAUACGCUUCCACCACAGUUACCACACUCAUAUAUUUCCAAGUCCAUCUCAACAAUCUAAAAGUCACAGUCACCACACUCAGUUUUACGUUCACACCAGAGCCAGCACAAGUUACAGUUAACAGAGGUUAAAACCAUUGGACACGAAGGGAAGAACAGAAGCAUAGUUGGGGCUUAUAAGUCGACAAUUCAGAUCAAGCGGCAUACGAAUAAUCAAACCUAAACAACAGGGAGUCCUUGAUUUCUAUUUAGUAUUGGUUUAUACUACUGCUUCAUUUUUAAAAUUGCAUCAAUUAAAAUUGUGCUGCUGUUAUUGUGAUAAUUUUAGCCUUAAACCUCACUUGAUCAAAAUCAUUAAUCGAAUUGACACCAUAAAUCGAAUUGACUUCCAUUGUUCCCCACUUAAAUUGAUUGGAGAAUCUGACUAGUGUUGACCCUUGCUUUGCCAUUUUACAUGUACUAGCAAUAUUAGCUUGUUUUGGAUUUAAUUAAUCCCAAUAUUUAAAAUUAAAUUAAAAAAAUGGUACAAGUUAUUUUCCAUUGCUUGCACGUAUUGUUCACUGAUCUCAUCCUAGCACGUCAUUUAGC
rnacentral:lncRNA from 1 species